CAAAGGUUAAUUCCGGUGGCGGAUGGGCAUGCGUCGCAUUAGUUAGUUGGCGGUGUAACGGACCACCAAGACGACGAUGCGUAGGGGUUCUGAGAGGAAGGUCCCCCACACUGGUACUGAGACACGGACCAGACUCCUACGGGAGGCAGCAGUGAGGAAUAUUGGUCAAUGGGCGGGAGCCUGAACCAGCCAAGUCGCGUGAGGGAUGACGGCCCUAUGGGUUGUAAACCUCUUUUGCCGGGGAGCAAAGUGCCGCACGUGUGCGGUUUGGAGAGUACCCGGAGAAAAAGCAUCGGCUAACUCCGUGCCAGCAGCCGCGGUAAUACGGAGGAUGCGAGCGUUAUCCGGAUUUAUUGGGUUUAAAGGGUGCGUAGGCGGACGCUUAAGUCAGCGGUAAAAUUGCGGGGCUCAACCUCGUCGAGCCGUUGAAACUGGGUGCCUUGAGUGGGCGAGAAGUACGCGGAAUGCGUGGUGUAGCGGUGAAAUGCAUAGAUAUCACGCAGAACUUCGAUUGCGAAGGCAGCGUACCGGCGCCCAACUGACGCUGAAGCACGAAGGCGUGGGUAUCGAACAGGAUUAGAUACCCUGGUAGUCCACGCAGUAAACGAUGAAU
rnacentral:rRNA from 1 species